AAUUGUGGGAAUGAUGAAAAUGCUGAUGUUAAACCCAUGAAAUUUGAUUGAAUUGUGCGAAUAAUGUAAAUGUUAUUGUUAAAACCAUAAAAUUUGAUUGAAUUGUGGGAAUGAUAAAAGUGUGAUGUUAAACCCAUGAAAUUUGAUUGAAUUGUGGGAAUGAUGAAAAUGAUGAUGUUAAAUUUCAUGAAAUUUGAUUGAAUUGUGGGAAUGAUGAAAAUGAUGAUGUUAAACCCAUGAAAUUUGAUUGAAUUGUGGGAAUGAUGAAAAUGUUGAUGUUAAACCCAUGAUAUUUGAUUGAAUUGUGGGAAUGAUGAAAAUGUUGAUGUUAAAUCCUUGAAAUUUGAUUGAAUUGUGGGAAUGAUCAAAAUGAUGAUGUUAAACCCAUGAAAUUUGAUUGAAUUGUGGGAAUAAAUGAAAAUAUUGUUGUUAAAACCAUGAAAUUUGAUUGAGUUAUGUGAAUGAUGAAAAUGUUGUUGUUAAACCCAUGAAAUUUGAUUGAAUUGUGGGAAUGAUGAAAAUAUUGAUGUUAAACCCAUGAUAUUUCAUUGAAUUAUGUGAAUAAUGAAAAUUUUAUUG
rnacentral:lncRNA from 1 species